UGAGCAGAAGCCAAUGUGGCGUCUAACUGUUAAUUAGGAGUCUGUAGGUUAAUUCUACCUGCCCAG
rnacentral:tRNA from 1 species